UACGGGAGUGGCAAGCGUUAUCCGGAAUUAUUGGGCGUAAAGCGUCCGCAGGCGGUCUGUCAAGUCUGUCGUUAAAGCGUGGAGCUUAACUCCAUUUAAGCGAUGGAAACUGCAAGACUAGAGUGUGGUAGGGGCAGAGGGAAUUCCCGGUAUAGCGGUGAAAUGCGUAGAUAUCGGGAAGAACACCAGUGGCGAAGGCGCUCUGCUGGGCCAUAACUGACGCUCAUGGACGAAAGCCAGGGGAGCGAAAGGGGUUAGAUACCCCUGUAGUCCUGGCCGUAAACGAUGAACACUAGGUGUCGGGGGAAUCGACCCCCUCGGUGUCGUAGCCAACGCGUUAAGUGUUCCGCCUGGGGAGUACGCACGCAAGUGUGAAACUCAAAGGAAUUGACGGGGGCCCGCACAAGCGGUGGAGUAUGUGGUUUAAUUCGAUGCAACGCGAAGAACCUUACCAGGGUUUGACAUCCUGCGAAUCCCUUGGAAACGAGGGAGUGCCUUCGGGAACGCAGUGACAGGUGGUGCAUGGCUGUCGUCAGCUCGCGUCGUGAGAUGUUGGGUUAAGUCCCGCAACGAGCGCAACCCACGUCGUUAGUUGCCAGCAUUCAGUUGGGCACUCUAGCGAGACCGCCGGUGAUAAACCGGAGGAAGGUGUGGAUGACGUCAAGUCAUCAUGCCCCUUACAUCCUGGGCUACACACGUACUACAAUGCUACGGACAAAGGGCAGCAAACUCGCGAGAGCUAGCAAAUCCCAUAAACCGUGGCUCAGUUCAGAUCGUAGGCUGCAACUCGCCUACGUGAAGGAGGAAUCGCUAGUAAUCGCAGGUCAGCAUACUGCGGUGAAUACGUUCCCGGGCCU
rnacentral:rRNA from 1 species